rnacentral:piRNA from 1 species
UGGGAUGUCCCUUAGGUCUCAGCUGAUGG